AAUUGCUGCAUCAUAUCCUUCCUUGCAAACAAUUGCUUUUUCAAUGGAAGAUAAAAGAAGACAGUAAAUGCGACUUAUGUAAUGUAACAGAAGAUUAUAAACAUUUUUUCCUAGAAUGUCGUUACUUUAACACUUUUUGGGAAAAGAUCAAAAUACUAUUAAAUAAAGUUAAAAUAGGUCAUCAUAUCCUAAACUACAGAAAUCUCAUUAUAGGAUAUAAAAUCGGUGAUAUCAAUUAUUAUGAUAUAAAUCUGUUGGUGACACUCAUUACAUUUUCUAUCCACAAGUGCACUCACAGUUCAAAUUAUAAAACUACAAAUUUUGAUGUGUAUGCCCUGUUCAAAAAAGAUUUUUUGAACUACUUAAAUAUUUCGACACUUUCAGGUGGUAAACAUGGUAAAAUUUUGAAAGAAAUAAGCUUAUACAUAUAAUUAUUAUUCUCGCAUAUAUGCUAUAUGCUAAUUUAUUCAGCAAUACAUGUGUCUCUAUAUUAGUUAAUCUUAAAACCACGUGUUGUAGACUUCGUCAUGAUCAUGAUCAGUGAUAAAGAUUAAACCCCUACUAUUCUGACGCAUCCUUCAUUUAAUAUAUCACAUACUCAUAAAUAAAUAUACUUAUAUAAUGUACUUCAAUUCGUAACCAAGUAUGUUCACCUACAUAAUUAAUAUACAACAAACUGCUUCGACUGUUAAUUUGCCUCCAUCGUGUAAUCC
rnacentral:lncRNA from 1 species